rnacentral:lncRNA from 1 species
UAAGGAGGGACAGCACUUGGGAUGUGCUCUGCCUAGUGUGGUCAGUGCUGCCUGGAUACUGAGGGAAGUCCUCCUGAAACAUGAAUAAUUAUAGGGAUAUUUAUUUUUAUGUCUCCAAUGUCAGGUGCCAGAUGUGACAUCACGAUGACCCAGUCUCCAUCCUUCCUGUCUGCCUCCAGGAGACAGAGUCACCAUCACCUGCAGGGCCAGUCAGAGUAUUAAUAGUUGGUUAGUUUGGCAUCAACAGAAGCCAGGGAAAGCUCCUAAGUGCCUGAUAUAUAAGGAAUCCAUUUGCAAUCUGGGGUCUCCUCAAGGUUCUGUGGCAGUGGAUCUGGGACAGAUUACAAUCUUACGAUCAGCAGCAUGGACCCUGAAGAUGUUGCCACUUAUUACUGUCAACAGCAUAACAGUCACCCUCCCACAGUGAUACAGGCCAUGACAAAAACCUCCCAGGGAGCAGAAGUGUGAGGCUGGGCUGCCCCAGCUGCUCCUCCUGCUGCCUCCACCUGCUGAGGGCACAGCUCAGAGGCACCAGUCUCUGGAGCUCUCUAGUAGACUUUGGUAGGAAGGGC